rnacentral:rRNA from 1 species
CUUUCUUUGCUGGCGACCGGCGCACGGGUGAGUAACACGUAUCCAACCUGCCCUUUACUCGGGGAUAGCCUUUCGAAAGAAAGAUUAAUACCCGAUAGCAUAAUGAUUCCGCAUGGUUUCAUUAUUAAAGGAUUCCGGUAAAGGAUGGGGAUGCGUUCCAUUAGGUUGUUGGUGAGGUAACGGCUCACCAAGCCUUCGAUGGAUAGGGGUUCUGAGAGGAAGGUCCCCCACAUUGGAACUGAGACACGGCCCAA